rnacentral:lncRNA from 1 species
CAGAAGGCAUGUGAUCAACCAAAUAUCUUUGUCCACAUCAAGUCAUACUCAAAUCAACAACUUCAAUAUAGUUGACGAUUAUCCAAAUCCAAAAGACACAAAAAGAAGAAACAACAACAUUAUAUAUAGCAUUAAUUCCUUCCUUGGCCCAUAACUAGCGUAUUUACAUGAAAUUCUGAUUGGCACAAACAACAUAUUCCAUGAAGAUUCCUAUCAUCGAUCCAUACUCAAAUAAUUGUCACUACAAUGCUCGCCAGCUCUUAAUUUAUAACUCCAUCACUCACUAAUCUCUUACAAUUUAAUUACAAAAGCUACCAUAAGACUAAACUAGCAAUUAACAACACCAAAAAGUAGACACCCCCUAAAUCUCUCUAACGUUCUCCUUCCAACAACGUGGGGUUUCUCGAAAACACCCCAUGCACAUUUCCUCUUCUCAUAAUAAAAGAGAAAAUAAACUUAGAAAAAAAUGUAAAAGCUUGAAAUUAAUUCUAACUAGCUUGUAGCUACUUCUAACUUUAACAAAUGUGCACCCAACCCAAUUUUAACGGUUCUAGUGAGUGGGGGGGGGGGGGGGGGG